rnacentral:rRNA from 1 species
GACGAACGCUGGCGGCGUGCCUAAUACAUGCAAGUCGAACGCAGUGGGGACGGGUGAGUAACAAGUGGGUAACCUCCCAUCAGAGGGGAUAACAGUUGGAAACAGGUGCUAAACCGAUAUUGAAGGAUGGACCAGCGGAGCAUGAGCUAGUUGGUGGGGUACCGGUUCACCAAGGCCACGAGGCAUAGCUGGCCGUAGAGGGGGAUCGUCCACACUGGGACUGAGACACGGCCCAGACUCCUACGUGAGGCAGCAGUAGGGAAUCUUCGACAAUGGACGAAAGUCUGACCGAGCAACGCCGCGUGAGUGAAGAAGGUUUUCGGAUCGUAAAACUCUGUUGUUAGAGAGGCGGUAUCUACCCAGAAAGCCACGGCUAACUCCGUGCCAGCCGCCGCGGUAAUAC